UUUGCAAACCGUAUCUACUCAUUUACCCCAUCCAACCCUGACCCUUCUUUGGAUCCAGAAUAUGCUAAACAACUUAUGGGAAUGUGCCCUCAAAAUGUAGAUCCUUCCAUUGCUAUAAACAUGGACCCUGUGACUCCACGAACCUUUGACAACGAGUAUUACAAGAAUCUGGUUGGAGGAAAGGGUUUGUUCACCUCAGAUCAGGUGCUCUUCACUGAUGAAUCAUCUCAAGGCACUGUUAAUGACUUUGCUAAUAACGGUUUCGACUUUAAUGGAGCUUUUGUCACUGCAAUGAGAAAACUCGGAAGGGUUGGUGUCAAAACUGGUGAUAAAGGUGAAAUAAGACUGGACUGCAGCAGGUUCAACUCAUAAGCCCCAAGGCCUAGCCUUCAACAAAAGUGAAAAAAAUUGCUUUGUAAAACCAUUAAAGUAGUCCGAGGAGUGGAAAUAAUUUGUUGUUCUUUUUCUUUGGAAAUAUUUGAUGUAAUUGGUUAAAUAAAUCACAUGUUUAAGGUCCAGAGAUUGGAUUUCUUUGAAUUUUGCAAGCAUUCUUAUAUUGGACACUUGUGUUACUGAAUUCAGUCUCGACUUUUGCAUGGUUGCACCUGGUGCAAUAAUUUACAUCAUCAACAAGCAUGAACUUAUGUCAGUUUUAUGCACGUUAAUUUACUUGUGUUCCUCGUAAAUGUAUUUAAGUAGAUGCCAUCCUAUAUCCUUAAAUAUCACGAUUUAUGAUCUUCUCCAAAUAUAGCAAGUGAUCAAUGUCAUUGGACUAGAACCUCUCCUUUGUGCAGUGUAAAGCCUUUUACAAUUAAAAAAAAAAAAGAAUGAAGGAUCUAAAUCAAUAAAUGAAAUGGUUGACAACCAAAAUGUAACGAUUUCAAGUUUGAAUGACAAUUCAAAUAUAUACCAAUCAACAAUUGCAAUACAAACAUUUGACUCAGAGCAAAAAAGAAAGGCAGUUUUGCCAUCUCCAUUGUCUUCCACUCAUUCUGGUCCUGGAGGAAGUGUUCUGGUUAUGGCUAACAUUGUCACCUCGGUUAAAUGCUCCUGGAUCCAUAAGCUGGUUCAGAGUAUCUGCGCAAAUUACUCAAAUUUUUAUCCAAGCUUUCACUUGACGGAUGUACGAGAUUUUCCAUAAAAAGAGGCUAAAAAUUGCAACCAGAAGAAACUAACCUCAACCAUCCAGUAUCACCAAACAACAGCGUUGAAUAGAGCCAUUAAUAGGAAUAUAUAUUCAAACACACAAUCUUAAUAACACAUUAACAAAAUUAUUCAAUGACAAUUUAAAAAAUGCUCAAAUUCCAGUAAGAACUAGAUAUAGUUCUUUAAUAGUUGAAACUUCCUUUUACGCAGUCUUCUAUGUGUUUGAUCAUCCCCAAUUGCUUUACAUUUUCUAUCAUCAGGACAUAUAUAGCAAACCUCUUAGUUAAGAGACUAAGGCAACCUAUACGAAGUAUGAAGAUGGAAAUAGUCACGUGGAGGUAUUUAAUUGCGUGAGCUACUAUAUAAUAAACGGAGCACCACCCACUACACUAAGAAGACCAAAAAUAAAUUACUCAGUGCUCGGUGUUGACACCAAACUACAUUAAUUUACUACAAUAUACCUAUUUAAAAGAAAUGCCGUAUGUUAAUUGGUUUGGUGUAAACACUGUAUGUGGGAAAGUUUUUUCCUUCAUCCAGCUAGGACAACUAUAAUGUCAACCUCUGGGAGUUGGAACAAGUAUAACGACGACCUGUUACAAAUCAGUGAUGCAAGAAUCAGCCUUCAUCUACCUUUCUCAUUCCUUUUCUUCUACUAGUAUAUAUGUAUGUGUUUGUUCUGCUACUACAAGUCACUCGAUAGUAGAGGGAGAAAAGUAGAAGAGAGAAGAAGAAAAAGAUCAUUUUUUUCAUCAAAGAAGUGAGAAAUGGAGAGACUGAGGAGCUUGUAUGUGUUGAUCUUGGCAAUCAUAGUGAUUCUCGGCAGAGCUGAAGGGCAACUAGAAGAGAACUUCUACAGUUCUACCUGUCCUAAUGUGGAGUUUAUAGUUCAACAGGCUGUGGCUACAAAGUUCAGCCAGACUUUUGUCACUAUUCCAGCUACUUUGCGUCUCUUUCUCCAUGAUUGUUUUGUUGAGGUAACAUCCUAAUCUUCUGCUACAAUUUGUUUAGUGUGUUUUUCAUGCACAAUAAUUUUACUCUAGAAUCAAGCUAUAAGCAUGUCUCCAUUCUCAUGUUGCCGUGGCCCAUGCAUGUUAGUUCUUGGAAUUAUGGCAAAAGUUUUAGAACUUGCAAACAUAAAGGUUUUGUAACAUACAAGAGACAAGAGACUUAUCACUUAUUCUAUACUUUGAAUAGCUCCUACCACCAAUAUCCAAUGUCCUGUUUCCGUGUGCAGCAAAAAUUGACAAUCCUCGUCUUCACAAAAUUGUUCAUUUCUCAUCUUUGGAUGAUGCUAUCACUUAUCAGCUCAUUAAGGUGGUUUUAGCUUUCAGGGAAAGUAGAUUGGGAUGUUUGCAAAUUUUGUAGUAAUAGAAUAUAAUCAUGAAAAACUUAUUUCAGUAUGCUAGCGGUCUUCACAAAUCCACUAGAGUUUCAAGUGGUCAAUGUUACCAAGAUUUAUCUAUUUUGCACAUUUCCUCAGGGAUGUGACGCCUCCGUUAUGAUAGAUUCACCAGAUGGAGACGCAGAAAAGGAUGCCGAGGAUAACCUUUCUCUUGCAGGUGAUGGCUUUGACACUGUGAUAAAGGCAAAAGAAGCAGUAGAGGCUCAGUGCCCGGGAGUAGUAUCAUGUGCAGAUAUCUUAGCAAUUGCCACCAGAGACGUUGUAGUGCUGGUAAUCGAGGACACAGAAACCAUCCCCGUCUAUACCCCCUUGUUUUUGCUUUGAUAUUUUUCUUUCUCGUUAUUUACCGUAAGUAUGUAAACAUUCAGGCAGGAGGCCCUUCAUACAAUGUAGAAUUGGGACGUCGUGAUGGGCUCAUCUCCAAGGCAUCUCGGGUGGCUGGAAAUUUGCCAGAACCUGAAUUCAAUCUCAAACAACUGAACACUAUGUUUGCCAGCCACAAUCUUAGCCAGUUUGACAUGAUAGCUCUUUCAGGGGCUCACACACUUGGCUUCUCUCACUGUAACCGUUUUUCAGACCGUCUCUACUCAUUUAGCCCAUCCAACCCUGUUGACCCUUCUUUGGAUCCAGAUUAUGCUAAACAACUUAUGGAAAUGUGCCCUCAAGAUGUAGAUCCUUCCGCUAUUGUAGACAUGGACCCUGUGACUCCACAAACCUUUGACAACGAGUAUUACAAGAAUCUGGUUGGAGGAAAGGGUUUGUUCACCUCAGAUCAGGUGCUCUUCACUGAUG
rnacentral:lncRNA from 1 species